CAAGUUCCCAAGGACCCCCAGCAUGCUUGAUUGAACUAAUUGGGCUAGCUCCAGUGCCACCAUCAUGACCUGAUAUCUGAAUUAUGUCUGCGUUUCCUUUGGAUACUCCAGAAGCUACAGUUCCAAUUCCUGCUUCAGCUACAAGCUUUACAGAUACCUUCGCUUUUGGAUUGAUCUGAUGAAGAUCAUAAAUUAACUGUGCUAGAUCCUCGAUUGAAUAGAUGUCAUGGUGGGGUGGUGGGGAUAUGAGAGGAACUCCAGGUUUG
rnacentral:misc_RNA from 1 species